GUCGAACGAAGCUUGACGAAUGAUUUCUUCGGAAUGAAAUCUGAUAUGACUGCGUUGCGGACGGGUGAGUAACGCGUGAGCAACCUGCCCUUCGGAACGGGAUAGUGUCUGGAAACGGACAGUAAUACCGUAUAACGUAUUUUUACCGCAUGAUAGAAAUACCAAAACUGAGGUGCCGAAGGAUGGGCUCGCGUCUGAUUAGAUAGUUGGUGGGGUAACGGCCUACCAAGUCGACGAUCAGUAGCCGGACUGAGAGGUUGAACGGCCACAUUGGGACUGAGACACGGCCCAGACUCCUACGGGAGGCAGCAGUGGGGAAUAUUGCACAAUGGGGGAAACCCUGAUGCAGCAACGCCGCGUGAAGGAAGACGGUUUUCGGAUUGUAAACUUCUGUUCUUAGUGAAGAAUAAUGACGGUAGCUAAGGAGCAAGCCACGGCUAACUACGUGCCAGCAGCCGCGGUAAUACGUAGGUGGCAAGCGUUGUCCGGAAUUACUGGGUGUAAAGGGAGCGUAGGCGGGAUGCCAAGUCAGCUGUGAAAACUAUGGGCUUAACUUGUAGACUGCAGUUGAAACUGGUAUUCUUGAGUGAAGUAGAGGUUGGCGGAAUUCCGAGUGUAGCGGUGAAAUGCGUAGAUAUUCGGAGGAACACCGGUGGCGAAGGCGGCCAACUGGGCUUUAACUGACGCUGAGGCUCGAAAGUGUGGGGAGCAAACAGGAUUAGAUACCCUGGUAGUCCACACUGUAAACGAUGAUAACUAGGUGUGGGGGGUCUGACCCCUUCCGUGCCGCAGCUAACGCAAUAA
rnacentral:rRNA from 1 species